UACGUAGGGGGCGAGCGUUGUCCGGAAUUAUUGGGCGUAAAGAGCGUGUAGGCGGUUCGGUAAGUCUGCCGUGAAAACCUGGGGCUCAACCCCAGGCGUGCGGUGGAUACUGCCGGGCUAGAGGGUGGUAGAGGCGAGUGGAAUUCCCGGUGUAGCGGUGAAAUGCGCAGAUAUCGGGAGGAACACCAAUGGCGAAGGCAGCUCGCUGGGACGUUACUGACGCUGAGACGCGAAAGCGUGGGGAGCAAACAGG
rnacentral:rRNA from 1 species